GUCUACGGCCAUACCACCCUGAAUGCGCCUGAUCUCGUCUAUCUCGGAAGCUAAGCAGGGUCGGGCCUGGUUAGUACUUGGAUGGGAGAAUGUGAUAAUAAUGCCACAUCUCUAGAAGGGUUGCUGUGGGGU
rnacentral:rRNA from 1 species